GAUGAACGCUAGCUACAGGCUUAACACAUGCAAGUCGAGGGGCAGCAUGGUCUUAGCUUGCUAAGGCCGAUGGCGACCGGCGCACGGGUGAGUAACACGUAUCCAACCUGCCGUCUACUCUUGGACAGCCUUCUGAAAGGAAGAUUAAUACAAGAUGGCAUCAUGAGUCCGCAUGUUCACAUGAUUAAAGGUAUUCCGGUAGACGAUGGGGAUGCGUUCCAUUAGAUAGUAGGCGGGGUAACGGCCCACCUAGUCUUCGAUGGAUAGGGGUUCUGAGAGGAAGGUCCCCCACAUUGGAACUGAGACACGGUCCAAACUCCUACGGGAGGCAGCAGUGAGGAAUACUGGUCAAUGGGCGAGAGCCUGAACCAGCCAAGUAGCGUGAAGGAUGACUGCCCUAUGGUUGUAAACUUCUUUAUAAAGG
rnacentral:rRNA from 1 species